rnacentral:rRNA from 1 species
UAUAGCGGCCAUGGCGGCAGGGAAACUCCUGAUCCCAUCCCGAACUCAGAAGAUAAGCCUGCCCGCGUUCUAUAUUGUACUGAAGUGCGCGAGCCUUUGGAAAGUAUAGAUCGCUGCUAUGC